AUUGAACGCUGGCGGCAUGCUUUACACAUGCAAGUCGGACGGCAGCGGGGGUGCUUGCACCUGCCGGCGAGUGGCGAACGGGUGAGUAACACAUUGGAACGUACCGGGUAAUGGGGGACAACCGGCCGAAAGGCCGGCUAAUACCGCAUACGCUUGAGGAGGAAAGCGGGGGACCUACGGGCCUCGCGUUAUCCGAGCGGCCAAUGACUGAUUAGCUAGUUGGCGGGGUAAAGGCCCACCAAGGCGACGAUCAGUAGCGGGUUGAGAGGACGAUCCGCCACACUGGGACUGAGACACGGCCCAGACUCCUACGGGAGGCAGCAGUGGGGAAUUUUGGACAAUGGGGGCAACCCUGAUCCAGCCAUGCCGCGUGUCUGAAGAAGGCCUUCGGGUUGUAAAGGACUUUUGUUAGGGAAGAAAAGGGAAGUGCUAAUACCACUUUUUAACUG
rnacentral:rRNA from 1 species